GGGUGCGCAGGCGCGAAAGCUUUACAAUGCUGGAAACAGCGAUAAGGGGACCUCGAGUGCCAGGUUAUAAAUCUGGCUGUCGUGAUGCCUAAAAAGCAUUGCAUAGCAAGGGCCGGGCAAGACCGGUGCCAGCCGCCGCGGUAACACCGGCGGCUCGAGUGGUAACCGUUAUUAUUGGGUCUAAAGGGUCUGUAGCCGGCCGGAUAAGUCUCUUGGGAAAUCCAGCAGCUCAACUGUUGGGCUUUCAGGAGAUACUGUCUGGCUCGAGGCCGGGAGAGGUGAGAGGUACUUCAGGGGUAGGGGUGAAAUCUUGUAAUCCUUGAAGGACCACCAGUGGCGAAGGCGUCUCACCAGAACGGACCUGACGGCAAGGGACGAAAGCUAGGGGCACGAACCGGAUUAGAUACCCGGGUAGCCCUAGCCGUAAACGAUACUCGCUAGGUGUCGGCCACGGUGCGACCGUUGUCGGUGCCGUAGGGAAGCCGUGAAGCGAGCCACCUGGGAAGUACGGCCGCAAGGCUGAAACUUAAAGGAAUUGGCGGGGGAGCAC
rnacentral:rRNA from 1 species